GUUAAGGUAGCAUAGCCCGGUCAUGCGACAGGCUUAAAACCUCGGAGCAGGUGUUCAAAUCACCUCCUUAAUA
rnacentral:tRNA from 1 species